rfam:Triticum aestivum genome assembly, contig: Triticum_aestivum_CS42_TGACv1_scaffold_332774_4BS
UGGAAGAGAAAGAUAAGAUGCCUACCUGAUAGUCUUCCUAGAGUAAAAUUGCCAUUUCCUGCUUGUGGCAUUGUUAGCAAGUUCUGCAAGCCUCAGAUNUUAGCAAGUUCUG